UGACAUCUUGCCUGGUCCGUGUGUCUUAUGUCCCAACCCAGAGUUGUAUAUUAACCUCUUAGAACAGAUACCUGACUAUCAUCAAGGCUAUCCUAGAGGAUCCUUUUACUACACUGAUUAAAAUUAAUGCUUUGAUAAAUUGAUCUAUAGUUGGUACCAAUAAAGGAAUACGUUCUGAAUAAGAAUUUACGAAAUCUAUGACUAAAGCUGCCCUCCAGAUUAUACUCUGUACUCGUUUUAAAUUAAGCUAAGUCAACUGUUGACUUCCAGCGCCGGCCAUCGCAGAAAAACCAUGGGGUCAUCCCACUGCAAGGAGUCCUUAACAUUACUUCUAACACUGUCAUGGAGGGUCCUUCUCCAUAACUAGUACCAAGUUUUUUGACUAAUGACUGUUUUCUUGUUACAGGAGCACCAGCGCCGGCCACCACAGAAGAGGUGUGGGUCAACCCACUAGAAGGGGUUCUUGACACUACCACAGAAGCUGACUUAGAGGGUCCUCCUCCUACACUAGUCUCAGGUUAUGCUCUGCACCCUACACCCAGACCUUUUGUGCCUUGGAGGUUUUGGGGAGCGGUUGGGGCUUUCACAGCACUCAUUCUUAUGUACGCUUGUGCCUUCGCCAUGUUCAACUUCUUGCCCGUAUUGACAAUGUUUGACUGUUUCCUUACCUCAGGAGCAAGUACGAAGCCUGGGAACUCAAGACUAAUGGCUCAUUAACAACCCUCGGCAUCUCUGUCAUAUUCGGCAUCAUCUUGCUCACUCUCUAUUUCAUGUUCUACGACAAGUUAAACCCUUAAAUUAUUCUUUGUUUCCUGAAUUGAAUAAAUGAAAUUGAAUAGA